AAUUCCAUCCUCUAUUCAGCCAUGAGAGUGUUGUAUCUAAGAUGCAAAUCUACCCAUAGUGCUGGAAAUCCUACAGCAGCUCCCCUGCCGAGCCGUUUAACGUGGAGACAAGAUUUUCCACACCCUAAACCUUGCAGAUUUCUCCAACAUCAUCUCCCAACUCUCCCACUUCUAGAGGUUCGCACCACCCUGAUUCACUCCCUUGCCUUUGUUCACGUUGCUCCUUCUUGCUUGAAAUGCUCUUCCUCACCUUCCUCACCUGGUGAACACCUGUUGGGACUCACAGCCAAGUCGCUUUCUCUGGAAAGUCCUACUUGUUGUUGCCUCUCUCAUGUGCUUCCCCAUGCUCUCUCCCGAUGUCUGUCACAGCACACAUCACAUUGGAUUUCAGUUAUCUUUUAUGUGCUUAUCUUCCCAAGAAGGCCACAAACUCCUAGAGCCCACGUACAGUGGAACGAGCACAGGAUUUCGGGAGAUGUAAUCACCAACCACCCUGAACCAGACCAACCCUUGCCACGAAAGCCAGCCACGCCUGUGACCUCUGCCUUAUUGUUAAUGCUGAGAUGUCCCCAGGAGGAACUUAGGUCUUGUUGCCGCAUCCUGCAGUGUUUGUGGAAGUGCGUUUUCCAACUAAGCCUGUGCAAGCGAAUGCCCACCUCUCCCAUUUGAAUAUUCAUUCCCCGUCUGAAAUAAACGCCCCUGCUUCCCUUUGUUCAGGGAGCCAUGACUCUGGAAAUAAUUCCUCAUGGUCUCCUAUUUGCAGCAAACAUACCUUACUUUGUGAGACAACUCCUUCUGGUGGAGACGCUGAUCUAACUCGCCAGGAGGGAGCCCACUUUGGUUUUGGUAACAACUGAGGGAGGAAAAAGGGAGCAAGCUAGAAGGAUCCUGCGCAGACUACAUCACUACUGUCUAAGUUCUCACCCUACGGAACUAGAAAUUGCGGGCAAUGCCUUUUGAGCAAGAUGACAUCUAAUUCCAAUCAGCAGAUCCAUUAAAAAAAAAGACCUUGAUUCUAAAUUUAAUAGUUUGGGGGAAAAAAUUACGCUUGUAUGUUUAAGUUAAAAUUAAAAUGCAAAGGUUGUCUAUACCUGACUUUUUGGAUUGAGGGAUCCACUGCUGGGGAGAAGAGGCUCUGGCUGAGCUGAGCAUUUUAAAAACAUAUGAGGUUGGGGCCAGCCCAGUGGAGCAGCGGUUAAGUUCGCACUUCCCGCUUCUUGGUGGCCCA
rnacentral:lncRNA from 1 species